CCUACGGGCGGCAGCAGUGAGGAAUAUUGGUCAAUGGCCGGAAGGCUGAACCAGCCAUGCCGCGUGAAGGUCAGUGCCCUAUGGGCGUUAAACUUCUUUUGUGCGGGAGCAAUAAUGGUCACGUGUGGCCAGACGAGAGUACCGUACGAAUAAGCAUCGGCUAACUCCGUGCCAGCAGCCGCGGUAAUACGGGGGAUGCAAGCGUUAUCCGGAUUUAUUGGGUUUAAAGGGUGCGUAGGCUGGGAGGUAAGUCAGCGGUGAAAUGCCCCCGCGCAACGGGGUGAAGUGCCAUUGAUACUGGCUGGCUGGAAUGCGGAUGCCGUGGGAGGAAUGUGUGGUGUAGCGGUGAAAUGCAUAGAUAUCACACAGAACACCGAUUGCGAAGGCAUCUCACGAAUCCGCGAUUGACGCUGAUGCACGAAAGCGUGGGUAUCAAACAGGAUUAGAUACCCCUGUAGUC
rnacentral:rRNA from 1 species